rnacentral:rRNA from 1 species
UACGGAGGGUGCAAGCGUUAUCCGGAUUCACUGGGUUUAAAGGGUGAGUAGGUGGGUUGGUAAGUCAGUGGUGAAAUCUCCAGGCUUAACUUGGAAACUGCCAUUGAUACUAUCAAUCUUGAAUACCGUGGAGGUCAGCGGAAUAUGUCAUGUAGCGGUGAAAUGCUUAGAUAUGACAUAGAACACCAAUUGCGAAGGCAGCUGGCUACACGAAUAUUGACACUGAUGCACGAAAGCGUGGGGAUCAAACAGG